rnacentral:rRNA from 1 species
GAUGAACGCUGGCGGCGUGCUUAACACAUGCAAGUCGAACGGAAAGGCCCAAGCUUGCUUGGGUACUCGAGUGGCGAACGGGUGAGUAACACGUGGGUGAUCUGCCCUGCACUUCGGGAUAAGCCUGGGAAACUGGGUCUAAUACCGGAUAGGACGAUGGUUUGGAUGCCAUUGUGGAAAGUUUUUUCGGUGUGGGAUGAGCUCGCGGCCUAUCAGCUUGUUGGUGGGGUAAUGGCCUACCAAGGCGUCGACGGGUAGCCGGCCUGAGAGGGUGUACGGCCACAUUGGGACUGAGAUACGGCCCAGACUCCUACGGGAGGCAGCAGUGGGGAAUAUUGCACAAUGGGCGCAAGCCAGAUGCAGCGACGCCGCGUGGGGGAUGACGGCCUUCGGGUUGUAAACUCCUUUCGCUAGGGACGAAGCGUUUUUGUGACGGUACCUGGAGAAGAAGCACCGGCUAACUACGUGCCAGCAGCCGCGGUAA